GACGAACGCUGGCGGCGCGCCUAACACAUGCAAGUCGAACGAGCGGGAGAGAGCUUGCUUUCUUGCUCGAGUGGCGAACGGGUGAGUAACGCGUGAGUAACCUGCCUCAAACUUGGGGACAACUGUUGGAAACUACUGCUAAUACCGCAUAAGCGCACGUUCCCCCAUGUCACAGUGGGAAAGGUAGCACUCCGCUUUAAGAUCGCCUCGCGUCCGAUUAGCUAGUUGGUGUGGUAACGGCCCACCAAGGCGACGGUUGGUAGCCGUACUGAGGGGUUGAACGGUCGCGAUGGGACUGAGGCACGGCCCAGACUCCUACGGGGGGGAGCAGAAGGGAAUAUUGCGCGAUGGAGGAAACUCUGGUACAGCGGCGCGGCGUGGAAGAAGAAGGUCUUCGGAUUGUGAACUCCUGUUUUUGGAGAAGAUAAUGACGGUACCCGGCAAAGAAGUGACGGCUAACUACGUG
rnacentral:rRNA from 1 species